GACGAACGCUGGCGGCGUGCUUAACACAUGCAAGUCGAACGGAAAGGCCCUGCUUUUGUGGGGUGCUCGAGUGGCGAACGGGUGAGUAACACGUGAGUAACCUGCCCUUGACUUUGGGAUAACUUCAGGAAACUGGGGCUAAUACCGGAUAGGGGCUCCUGCUGCAUGGUGGGGUUGGAAAGUUUCGGCGGUUGGGGAUGGACUCGCGGCUUAUCAGCUUGUUGGUGGGGUAGUGGCUUACCAAGGCUUUGACGGGUAGCCGGCCUGAGAGGGUGACCGGCCACAUUGGGACUGAGAUACGGCCCAGACUCCUACGGGAGGCAGCAGUGGGGAAUAUUGCACAAUGGGCGGAAGCCUGAUGCAGCAACGCCGCGUGCGGGAUGACGGCCUUCGGGUUGUAAACCGCUUUCGCCUGUGACGAAGCGUGAGUGACGGUAAUGGGUAAAGAAGCACCGGCUAACUACGUG
rnacentral:rRNA from 1 species